AUCUGGUUGGCUACUGUGAGAACAAGAUCCUGGACUAGAUGGGCCAUUGGUCUGAUCCAGCAGGCUCUUCUUAUGUUCAUGAUCCACUAGGAUCUUCUCCUGCUUAAGGUUCUAAAAAGCAGCUAUGCAAAGAUACUCAGGUAGGUACAUGGUGCAACAUGCUUGCUGCAAUCGAGCAAAUCUUGAUCUGGUCAGUGUCUUGAGGGAAGCCCACCUCAGAGCUCUAUGCAUAUUUCCUUGAGUUCUGUGAUGUUAGAAAGGUGGGAUAGAAAUACAAUAAAUGCUGUGAUCUUCUACAAUUCACAGCAGUCAAGAGUGUGCAUAUUAUCAGUAGUAUUGCUAAAUAGGGGCACUUCUAGACUGUCACUAUUUUCAGGUGGGGAUUCAAUCACGCACUUGCAAAUCCAGGUUCUACAAUUACAAUUGACUGGAAAGUCUUGGGAACAAAUUCACUUUCCCAGAAAUAUUGGAUUUUGGGAGGGGAGGGAGUAAAGAAUAUGGCAGGGAAAUGCACUGGAAAGUGUUGGUAACAGUUGCUCUGAUGCAACGUCAUCUAUCCACCCCACAAACAAAUCAGAAUAAGCUGUACCCAACAUUAGUCACACUUGGAGCAAACCCAUUGGCAUUAAUAAGUCACAACUAACAGGUCCAUUAAUUUCAAUGGGUUUGCUCUGACUAAGGCACCAUUAUUAGGAGCCAACAUUGUCUAGUAUUCCUGCAAAAAUCCAGAUGAAUGCUUAGUCAACAGGUAGUAUGGAAGGUGCCCAUCAAUAUGUGUAUUGAUUGAAGGCCUUUUUUUUAUUGCAGGGACUUUCUGGAAUAUCCUGCCUUCUGUCCCCAUGUUUUGCAUCACUGUAACAGGAUCCCCAAGUACAACUAUUUACUUCCCUCACUGACAGCUGUUCACUUCUAUUGCAGGAAUGGUGGUGGGAGAGAGUGGUGCAGUUAAAACUGUUGAGGAGAGAUUAUUAACUUCAUUGACUUCAUUUAUUGAGACUAAAGCCUGCCCCUUAUUUGCAUAGCCCUUCUUUUUAAUCCGUAUCACCUCAACUUGGAUUUUGAAAACAAGGCAUGGGGAACCUUCUGCAGCCAGGGCCAGCCCUACCAUGAGGUAAUAUGAGGCAACUGCCUAAGGCAGCAUAUUUCUUUUGGGGGGAGGGGGUAGCAGCAGCACCUUGGACGUUCUUCCUAAACCCCCUUACCAUCCCAUCUGUUGGAGAACAGAGCUGUGCAUGCUCCAUUACCUGUUCUGCCCACUCUAAAUUAGCCUGCUGGUUUGGGUGCAGUGAAGGAGACCAUCAUUUUAUUGGUGUUGUAAGUUUUAGUUUUCAGUCCAAUCAGUUUCCGUAUGUGGAAUGUGGGGAGGGAAACAUCUUGUCCUUUGCUCCAGGCAGCAAGUUUCUGGGCAUGCAGUUCCCAUCAUCCCCAACCAUUGGCAAUGCUGGUUGGGCCACUUAGAAGUUGGGGACCAACAACAUCUGGAGGGCUAUAGGUUCCCCACCCUUGCUUUACAAGGUUGGCAUGUCUGUGUGUGUUUAGUUACAAAAUGCACAUCUGUAGAGUGUAUGUUUAGGAAAAGCCACAUUUUUUAAAAACAUACUCUUUAAUGUCCACUAGGGGGAGAAAGGUUUGUGAUUCAAAUUCAUAUCCUAGAAUCAUACAUUAUAAUUCCCAUUUAGCAAUGUCACCUUUAAUUUGCAAAAAAACAAAAACAAACCCAUCUCUCUCUCUGUGUGUGUGUGUGUGUCUGUGUCUACACACAAACCAGUCGAAUUGUUCAGAUGCAAGCUUAAGACUCUUUAAAAAAAUACCUAACCCUUUUCUAACUGAAAUAUUUAACUUUUCUCCUUUGAUCACCUUCUUGUGAUAUGAUGUUAUUUUAACUGUUAAUUCUGGAGUGUAUUUUAUACCUAUUGUUUGUUUUCUGUACCCCACUGGUAUUUUAUGUGACUGCUUUAUGAAAUAUUUCAAAAUGGCAGAUAGAUAGCCUAACUUCACAUUCUAGCUUUGCAUUUGCAGGAAAGUCUACCCACCCACGCACCUAUGUGUAGAAGCCUUCACACCUGCACUUGGAAGUGGUAUCCAUUAGGAGCAGGUGUGUCAUGUGACCAUGUAUCUUAAUUCUCAGAGUGCACAUAUAUGACCACAACAGAAAUAUCUUAUGCCGUGUGUGGUCUUGUAAUCACUUGGAUAAGUGCAGAAUGUUUGGGUGGACACAUAUUCGCGAUAGGACAAAAAAGAAAGAGUUACUGAGAGGUGUGCAAUCCUUUAACACCUGUUGUUUGGUCAUGCCAGUGGAUGUGAUGUGCUGGAAAUGAAACGUAUGAAGAAAUGAACAGGAGGAUAACCAUGGAAGAAAAGUCUCACCCGUGGCCCCAUCAUAUGUAUCGCUGAGAUCAGAGACGACUGUCCUUUUUUAAAAAGAAGAAGACAGAGCUUUAUUUCCAGUCACACUUCAUCUGAUAUAAAUGAACCAGCACUGAAGAUCACAUGGCUGAAUGCAUUUGGAAACACAACCCAACAUACAUUAAGGAAAAGGAGACUGGAAAGCCUGACUCUGCAAAUGAAAAGCAUCUCGUCCUUCAACUCUACCAUAAGAUUUGUGAAGUGGAACUACUAAGAAGAUGUUUAAAGAGUUGUUUGUAGUAUUAAUUUUAACUUCAUGCGUUCUCAAGCUGAACCCACCUCACGAUUAAACACACAGAGUGUGUGUUUACUAGUUACACUAUGCAUUUUGACCUGCUUAGUUUUAUGAGAAUGUGGUGUGACAUUUAUUACUCUAGUAAAGGGAAGCUGUGUUAAUCAUAAAGGUACAAGAAAAUUAGCCUCCUAAGUCUAGAAUUCCUAAUUAAGGCUGAAAUCCGAAGCAUAGUUUUCCUGGAAGUAAGCCCCCUUAAACACAGUGAUUACGUCUGUGCAAAUAGGCAUUAAGAGUUUAUAGGGAGUAAAAUACAGAAUGAGUUCAAAGACGCUGUUGUGAAAGCAUUGUAAGAUCGGUUUGGAUCAUUUUUCAGACAGGGUUGGGAGUUCUAGUUGACUAAUCAGACAAUAAUCAAUUAAAAGUAUUUUGAUGAACA